CAGCCGCCGCGGUAAUACCGGCGGCCCGAGUGGCGGCCACUAUUAUUGGGCUUAAAGCGUCCGUAGCCGGGUUGGUUAGUCUCCCGGGAAAUCUGGCCGCUUAACGGUCAGAAUUCCGGGAGAUACUGCCAGCCUAGGGACCGGGAGAGGCCGAGGGUAUUCCCGGAGUAGGGGUGAAAUCCUAUAAUCCCAGGGGGACCGCCAGUGGCGAAGGCGCCCCGCUGGAACGGGUCCGACGGUGAGGGACGAAGGCCAGGGGAGCAAACCGGAUUAGAUACCCGGGUAGUCCUGGCUGUAAAGGAUGCGGGCUAGGUGUCGGGUGAGCUUCGGGCUCGCCCGGUGCCGGAGGGAAGCCGUUAAGCCCGCCGCCUGGGGAGUACGGCCGCAAGGCUGAAACUUAAAGGAAUUGGCGGG
rnacentral:rRNA from 1 species